CUGCACCCGUUCUUCACCGGUGAAGCAAAUUGGGACGCGUGGUUGGCCAAUGACCUUUGCCGCGCCCUAGGGAGUGAAAUUGACGCCGCUGCGGAACCAAUCGAGGCGCGGAACAAGCGGAAUUCUUCACCGAGGUGCGACAACCGCGUCGUGGCCACACCUCACCGUGGAGGAAGCUUGGCGCAGCGAAACCCGUGAAUACAUGCCACCACCAACUGGGGAGAGGAGUUAUUGGUGUUGCUUCAUCCAUCCAAUGCAAACCAUAAGAAGCUCCCAACCCCACCUCCCAAGAGGCACCUGGGAAUUAACAUGGUUGAUGGGAGGACCAAGCUAGUAGAGUACAUGCUGCCACCAAAGAUUGAAAAGAAGGUGGUCAAUGAACAGAUGUAUGUCCAGACCACUCCGGCGAGGACUCCACUUGGUGUCAGUAAGAACCUGAGGAUAUGUGGUGACUGCCAUAAUUCCAUCAAUAUCGUGUCCAGGAUUGUUGGCAGAGAGCUUAUUGUGAGGGACAGUGAGAGGUUUCACUCUUUCAAGAAUGGAUAG
rnacentral:misc_RNA from 1 species